AUGGCCGGCGAUGCAUACGCGUCGGGCAUCCACCCGAGCUUCGGAGAAGAUAAGAUCGACCCCCAGGCCCCCGCAAUGAACCCUAGCCCCGUUUUCCCCUCUCCCUCGCUGGUCCUCUUCUCCACAACGAUAGCAGUCGCAGCCGUUACCACGGCCUUGCCGUCCUCGCGGCGGUCGUCGUCCCCGCGUUGA
rnacentral:rRNA from 1 species